rnacentral:misc_RNA from 1 species
UUUUAUUAUAUUACAGCACUUGAAAAAUGCAAAUUACAGAAUUCAGCUCCAUUUUAACAAUCAUUUGGUGGAAGUAAUCCAUGGAACAAACCGUAAUCAAAGAAAGACCUUAAAGGACACUCUCUGCUACUAUUAGCAUUAGGUUCAAAGAGAAAUUUAAGAAAAACCAUGCACUCGUGUGAGCUAACCUGCGAUAAUGGCUAAUCUUAACAGGUUUUCGUUUUCAGAAAUACUGAAACUCAAAUUACUUAAAGACACAAUCUGCGCGUGUACAAAGCAAACAAGCAGACCAGAGCACAAUUUUUUGCAGGUCACUCACUUCCACUGCGUCAGCAAGCCACAAAAAACAAACAGAACAUCAGCUAAUUGCAGGUGAUCGGAGAAAUUUUCCGUUUGUUUGCCGAGAAAAUUCACCAAGAAAAGAAGUAAAGUUGUAAUUCAUUUUCUCGGCUGCGGAUGAGUGAGGGAAAAUAAAAAUAAAAUCAGAAGUAAAGGAGUGUUUAGCUACCUAUAAGUAUCCUUCAACUUCGUUGGAUUCCAUUAUUCGACGACAUCUCUGACUCCGUGCAGAUUUGUAUAAAAAGAGAGAAAGAAGAAUGGUCAAAUAUUUUGCUUUUCCUUACUCCUAAGAGAGUCUAAACUCAACCCCUAACGUGUGACACCAGACAGAGCCCUCCUUAUAUAGUGCCUUCGACGCCGGUAACCGGACACUUAUCUUUCAUUUUCC